CAUACACUCCUUUCCUUAUAAGAAACUCACUGAAGUCAUUGCAAUGCUCUAUGUCUCAGUGUAUUUUCAAUAUAUUUAGAAGUUGAAUUGAGAAACCCUUAGGCCACUUCAGGCAAUGCAUGGUUCUUUGACAGGCAGAGACGGAUGUAGCAUCAGUCAUAGGCACAGAUCGCCACCAGGGGGCAGACCAGAGCAUCCUUGGGAUUCUGUGAUUAGCCAGCUGGUGAAUGGAGACAGUGGUCACAACUCUCCCCACAGAAGGUGGUGUGAGGCCAUCACAGAAGAUGCUGAUGCUUCUGCUGCUUCUGGGGCCAGGCUCCGGGCUUGGCGCUGUCGUCUCUCAACAUCCAAGCAGGGUUGUCUGUAAGAGUGGAACCUCUGUGAAGAUCGAGUGCCGCGCCCUGGACUUUCAGGCCACAACUAUGUUUUGGUAUCGUCAGUCAAAGAAACAGGGCCUCACACUGAUGGCAACUUCCAAUGAGGGCUCCAACGCCAAAUAUGAGCAAGGCUUCUCAGAGGACAAAUUUCCCAUCAGCCAUCCAAACCUGACCUUCUCAUCUCUGACAGUGGCCAGUGCCCAGCCUGAAGACAGCAGCUUCUACCUCUGCAGUGGUAGAGACACAGCGCCAGGAGGGGAUGAGAGAGCAUGGCAAGAACCCCUGCAGCAGCCCUCCGCCCCAACAGGCCCGGGGAGUGCUGAGAAAGGAGGCGUGGAGAAUGGAAAACCACAGCUUUCCUGAUUGAGACAUGUGGGCGUGUGGGGUGGGGUGUGUGUGUAUGUAGGGGCGGGGAUAGAGAGAAGGAGGGAGAAAAAGAAAAGAAGUGUGAGUGUGGAGUGUGGAGGAGGUAUAGUGUUCAAGACCCGUGAAAUAUCAAUAGAGUUGGGCCUAAAGUGGUCACUGGACUCAGAAAGUUCCUUGAAAAUGAUAAAACCUGGAAUUUUGCCCUGA